rnacentral:misc_RNA from 1 species
AAGUCGUAACAAGGUUUCCGUAGGUGAACCUGCGGAAGGAUCAUUACCAAAUCCAAAUACCCAAACCCCAUGUGAACUAUUGUAUAGUCUGUCUUUGGGAGAAAUUAUCCAAGAAAAAAUUUAAUUGCUUUCAUUAGCCUUUAGAUUUUUUCUUGGAUUUUUCUCCCAAUAGAGUCCGGCGCAACUUUAUUGUUGUGUCCAGAUUCGAAACCCUAAACCACUUGAUUUUUCUGUUGGAAUUUUCUUUUUUUAAUUAUAAAUAAAAGACAACUUUUAACGGCGGAUCUCUUGGCUCGU